AUUAAAAAAUAAUAUAUAUUUUUUUAUUUUAUGUUUUCUUAUGUAUAUAUAAUAUAAAAUAAAAUAUUUUAUCUUUUUAAUGAAUAUAUACAAAUUUUUUUGACGGUACAAAUAAAUUAUGUAUAGUGAAAUUUUUUUUUUUAGAAUAUAUGAACUAUCAAUAAAAAUUUUAUUAACUUUCAUUUAUACGGAAAAUAUAAUAACAUUUUAAUAAAAUUAAUAUUUUAUAUAUAAUAAAUAGAAUUGAGCUAUAAUACUAUUAAUAGUAUUUGAGCUCUUUUGCUAUCAAGUUUUAAACCUUUGAAUAAAAAAUUAUAGGGUUAGGAUGAUACUAGUCCCUCAUCAGGGUUUAGUGGUGGUCCUCCUAGGGUUGAGUGGAUGGCUGGUUGAAUAGUAUGAUUUAAAAGUUAGAAUUGAUUAAAUUAAGUGCAGAUCUAAUAGCUAAUUAAAAAAUUGAUAGUAAAAACUCAAAUACUACUAAUUGUAUUCCAACUCAACUCAUAAUAAAUUUAUAUUAUUGUAUUGAUAAAACUAUAUAUUAUUAGUGGUGUCUAUGUUGUGUCAGUGUCAUGUCAGUGUCCUAAUUUUUUUGGAGGCUGUUGAGUUGCCAUUUUCAGAGUCAUGUCUGUGGCCCGUGUUUCUGUUCGUAACGCCUACAUCAAAUGCAAUUUUAUUGCUUUACUAAAAAAAUAAGAAAAUAUUUUUUUGUCUCUAAAUUUUCUUUUCUUUUCUUUUCUCUUUCUCUUCAUCAAAACGAAAUGUAGAAGUCAAAAAUUUAGCUAUGAACUAAUGCAAGCUACUUCACCUUAUGUCAUAUAAAAUUAUACGUGUGAACACGUGUGAUGUUGAAUAUGCGAAGUAUUUAUCAUGAAAACUUUAUUUGUGUAACUUUAUAAAAAAUGUAUCUGAAGUCAUAUAAUUUGAUUAAAUAAUUACUUAUAUGCCUUCAAAACUUCUCAAAUAUUUUAUACAUACACAUUUUUUUCAAAUAUAUACCUUAUAUAUUUUUUCAUUAUUCAAAAAUAACUCCGCUAUUAGUACUUAUUAAGACAUAGUUUGAUAUUGAGUUCUAUCUAACGCUAUUAAAUAAAAUGGAAUUAAAAAAAAACAUACAUAUAGGGAUAUACUUCUGCGUUCUCCGGUGGGACCGCAGAAAAUAUAUCGUAACCAACUCAUCGCAAUAUGCGGAACACAAUAUUACGUACGAAAACAAACAGGGUAUUUUUCCAAUGUACUUUCUCACCGCACGUAACAUGAUCCUAAACGAAGCCUAAGUCAUCUUUGAUCAAACUCAGAUUAAAUUUUCAUCAAAAUUAAAAAAAUUUAAAACACCUAUUUUGCCCCUAAUUUAAGAACAAAUAAAAAAAACUGAUAGCAACAGAAGAGAUAUAUAUGAAAACAUAAAAAGUCAAAAUACUUUUUUGUUCCUAACUUAAGACCAAAUAAAAAAAUUUGGUGACGAUAGAAGAGUAUGUUUGAAGGAAAAAAAAAAUAGUAAUAUCACAGAGAUAACGAUAGUUUUUAAUAAUUCACUAAUAGAAUUUAACUCUGUGAGUAUAUAUGAAAUAAUUUAGAAUGUUAAAAAAAUAUUUUAAUAUUAACCUUCUAACAAGAUAAAGAGAAAAGUUAGGAACUUUUGAGGGACAUAUAAGUAAUUGCACUUUUGGUUUACUUGAUUUAUUAUACUACAACCUCUCUCUCUCUCUCUCUCUCUCUCUCUCUCUAUAUAUAUAUAUAUAUAUAUAUAUAUAAAAUAGAGUGAGGCUACUAUGCUUCUGGUAGCAUAGAGCCUUCCUACUUUCAUAUCGUUUUUCAUGUUGCGACUUUCGAAUCGUCGAUCGGCUCCGUUGAACUUGAUCUAGAGUGUUUAAAGUAUCUAGAAAAUAAAUUUUGUAAUUUUUCGAUAUUAUUUGUCUAGUGAACUAAGGGGCUCAAAAUCAACAGCUGAAAAUAAAAAUCUUACAAAACGUGAUAAUAUGACAUUAAAAUUUUAGAUCAAAGAUAUUUAUCUUGUUUUAUAUAGUAUAAAGAAUUUUCUAUCAAAAUUUCACGUGAUUUGGAUAUUUCUACACCGUUAAACUUGCAAACGGCUCACCACGGCCUUUAAAAUUAUUAAUUUUGAACCCCUUCGAUCACUAGGCAAAUGAUAUCGAAAAAUCAUAAAAUUUAUUUUCCAAGUACUUCAAAUACUUUAGAUUAAGUUUAACGGAUCCGAUCGACGAUUUGAAAGUCACAACAUCGAAAACGAUCUGGAAGCACGGAAGGUUCUGUGCUUCUAGAAGCAUAGUAGCUUCACUCUAUAUAACAUGCAUUAAAGGGGUCAAACAUUAAUUGUAUACAGACGAUGUUACAUAAUUUGUAAAAUGUAUUUCUAUGUAUAUAUGUCUACGUGCACUUAUUGAUUCAAACACGAGAGUGAUCGAUCAAUAAUAAGUGUCAUGCAUUCAAAGUCAAAAUUGGUGUCGUAAUUACUUUUGAGCAUUUACUUCAAAAAAAAAACAAAAAAGUCAUGCUGAACAUGUCUUUCUCAACUUUUAUGUGUGUAAAUAAUUAUAUAUAUACACAAAAACAAACCAAAAGAUUAGAUUCGUGAUUAACUAAAACACUUCUUAUAUUAAGCUACGCGAUCACGCUUAAUUAGAAAUAUUAAUUCAAAGAUCAUGUGCUAGCUCAAGGGAAAAAACCAAUAGAAGUUUAGUAAUAGCUUAAUUACGCCGUGCGGCCGUUAUAGCUAAUUAUGUUUAAUUUAGUGGCCUAUAAAUGGAGUGUUUUUAGAAGCAUGGUGUUCUCCGUUCUAAUGGGGCAUCUGAAUCGACCAUUCAUAUGCUCGAUCCAUUAGCAAAAAAUAAUACAAAAGUAAAUAACUUCGCUAACGUUUGAGAGUAACUCUAACCUAUCUCUUAAUUCAUUGGAUACAUUAAAUUUGGUGAAGAUGUGUCUCCCAAAAAAUUAAUUAAAGCACUAAUAGGCUUAUUAGCUAAUUAAGUAGGAUUCAACAUGAAGUUAUUAAAGUGCUAGCUAGGGUUUGAUUGGUUUAGUAGGAGAACCUUCAAAAGAUGCAUUAACAAUAUUCUAUUAGAAUCGUAUCUUAAGUAGUAGAUUUUUUUUAUUAAAUUGUGGUGUUUACAAUUAAAUCUUAUGCUUUUAGUAAAGUUAAAUGUCAUUGUGCUCCAAUACCUCUAAACUUAUUACUAUUCACUUACUUUUAUCUUUUAUAGUGUGGUUAGGUCGAAUAAUAAUAGAUCCAAGUGUAAAAAAUUAAAAGUAUGUGAAUAGUAAUACUUUUACAUGUAUUCGAGCUCAGCACAAGUUAAAUGCUAGCUUAUUUUAUUAUUCUAUUAUUAUUAAAGUGUCGGAUUUUUUUAUAUAUAUAAUUUCGAGUGCCUGUGUUUUAGUUGUUAAAGUUGCUUUUCUUGUCUUUGUCCUUUUAAGUCAAUUUUUUGGAUAAAUAGGAUUAGAGCUAAUUUUUACGACGUUUAUUCUGUAAUAGGUUAUGAGUAUAAUCCUCAUCUUUAAUAUUUAACAAGUAAAAUUUUUAUAUUAUAUUAAAUGAGUUAAAUCUCUAUUUUUUAUGUUAUCUAUCGAAAUCACGUGUCUUUCAUAUUAUGCUAGUGAGCGGAGGUAUAAAAUAUAUAUUUUUGGACUCAUUGACAGCUAACUUUAUAAAUAGUAAUUAUGUGUCGCAUUAUAUAAUCUUUUUAUCUUUUUAAUAAAUUACGCAGAAAAUCACCCUUCUUCUUGUAGGCCAAAAAAGAGAAAAGGAAAAGAAAAGGAGAGGUUGGCUAAAAAGGUGGAGAAAGGUUCAAAGCUAAGAUUAAUGAUAAAAUAAUAAACUUAGCUUUGUUCCAAUGAGGUGGAAAACCAUGAAAAAAAACAAAAGCAAGUUAAAUAUUUGAUCUCACACUCUCUAAUGGGUUUAGGUUUGCAGAUAAAAAAAAUCUAUAAAACAGAAAAAAAAAAAAAAAAAAAAAAAAAAAACUUUCUAGUUAAAAUUUGUUAAAAAAAUUUAAAAAAAUUGAAGAAUAAAAAAAAUUUUUUUUUUUGCCAGAAAACUAUUUUCUAAAACUCUCUCUGCGAAUCCAACACAAUGAGGAGGAUAAAGUGGGAGAAUUAUUUGAUGGUAACACCCUUAACCUUUCUCAACAUAUUUCAAACCUACCAUUCUUUUGGUUUCCCAUUUCCCUUAUCUUCAAGAAAAGUGAAAAAGGAGGCCACACUUUGGAUUCAUUAAAAAAAAAUAAAUAAGUAAAAAAGGAAAAAGUGGGCCUAAAAGAGACUCUCAAAAGUCAGUGUAUCAACAUUGGGAAUUCCAAGAUUUGCCAAUUAAUUAAUCAAUCAAUCAAUCAAUUAAUCAAUUAAUUAAUUAAUCCCCCUUGAUUAAAUGGGGGUUUGUGUGGGGGUGUGAUGAACCCUAUAAAGGGCAAAAGUGAGGAAGGGAUUACUUUUCACACAAGUCCCUACCUUUUAAAACCGUUGCAAAAGAGCCACUAACUUAGCACCAGAAAUUAAUGUUUCAGAAACAUACACGUUCUUUCAUUCUAAUUCUGUAUGCGUAUCAAAAUUAAAGAACAAAUCACACUAAGUAAUUAAUUAAAAACAAAAAAUUAUACUUUUUUAAAGAAAAAAUUAGAACUCAGAAAGAGACUUGUGUGUCUAAACCGGCGGAAAAGUUAGGAGCACUUUUAAAGAUAUCUUAAAAUUGAGGGAGUUGUAAUAAAAAUUACCAUAAAUAAGGAGUACCAUGAUGAUGGUUCUAAUUAUAUUUUAAUGCAAGGGCAUCAUUCCAAAAGAUUACUUUUGAUUGAGCCACAAAAGGCAGCAACAUGCCUGCAAAUUUGCCAUUUCCAACCUAACCUACUCCUACUUCCCCUCAACCAAAGAUUUUAUUAUAAUAAUUGCUAUAAUUGUAGCAUAUAAUAUAUAUAUAUAUAUAUCCUUUUCUUUAAUAAUAAUAUAUAUAAGUGAAAAGAAAAAGGAAAGAUUCCCCUUUUAGAUAGUUAUUGUAUGUUGAAAAGACACCAAUAGAUUAGUAGCAGUAGUAGUAGUAGUGUGUGGGGAGUGCUUUUUAAUUGUUUUUUUGUUGGAGGAUUCCUUCAUAAAUGAAGUCCCAUAAUGUGUUGACACUUUUAUUAAA
rnacentral:lncRNA from 1 species